ensembl:lncRNA
CAGUGAUUUCCCCACCUGGAGACCUCAUUGCGAGAGCACUUAAAUUAUAGAUCACUUUCAUAGACGUGUCAACUGCUCGGGGUGAGAGAGGACGUUGGGUUUUGUCCGUGUGAGAGCAGCGUGGCCGUACCCAUGUGCCACCGUGUGCCCAGUGACAUGGGGCAGCACGGGGCUGGGUGCCGGGCUGGAGUUAUUGCACAUCGUUAUGGCUAACGGCCGGCUGAAACCAACAGAUGCUUUUACAAGGCCAAAUGAAUUUCAGAAAGUUUAAAGAUGCUGUCUCAUCUGCCGGCGUCUCCACACAAGCGCGACGUGCCAACGUGAAGUGCUCCCAGCUGUGUCCGUGCAUCAGAAUGACAGCAGGAAUCGCUACAUAAAUCUGAUCAGACCAAUCGGUUUGGUGAAGCUCAGCCCAAAUGUAUGGAGAUUCAGCACAGAAAACCAGGAUGCCUUUGGACCCAAUGUCCGAGUCGUGCGUUCGUCUGUGUUUUCCCCCUUCCAAGGUAACCCAAUGCCAGGUGAGCCAAGCCCAGUGCAAUAGACGAAAUCAGAUUGGGGCUUCCUCUACUGCAUGACAGCUUCAUGCUGGAGUUUCAGCAGAGGGGAAGAGCUGGUGGUGAAUUCUCCUCCCAGCUCUGAAACAAGGACACCGAGGACACUGGCGGUGCCGUGGGCAAGGUGCAGGGACAUGGAGAUGCAAGGUGCAGGCUCAAGGGGGACAAAUACAGCCAAGAGUGGCAAUGCCGGGACAAUGGGGACCCAGCAACACCGUGCACAAGGAGCUCUGCCACAGAGCCAGGCUGAAACCUGGCUAGGAGCCUUGCCAUCUGGUGGCAUUGAAGCCCUGCCUGCAGCCGGACCCGGCUUCUCAGGGCAGGAAUGAGCCUGGAAGCAAAGCCGGUGCCAGCCCCGGUAAAAAAAGUAAAUUCGUUUUAAAAACUCAGUUAAGCAAAUGCUUAACUUUUAGGGUGUGAAUAAUGCCUCUGACUGCACUGGGACUGUAGAUCUGCUCAAAGUUAUGCACGCUGUAAGUGCGUCUUGGAGCGGUGCCACCCGGCGCUCGCUGCCGUUCCAUAAUGAACUCAGGUUUUUUGCAGGCUGCAAAAUGAGCACUCAGAAAUUCAGCUUUGGGGACCUUCAUAUUUUCCAAAGUGUUAAAGUGCUUUCUUUUUAAAUAGCAAGUUUCCAUUUAGAAAAUAGGCUGUUCCGCAGAUAGCAUUAUACAUCUUCUGCUACCGGGGUGUUUUGCUCAGCGCUGCACGGGAACAUCAUCAAAUCCAUGUGCUUAGCAGAGUGAAACUGCUGACUCCAUUGCCCUGGUCAAAGGAAACUGCCCGUCUUCAUCGCCUCCUAUUAAUCAGGAGGGGGCUGAUGGUUCGGUGCUGCUCUGCACUGCACAUCCCAGACACAGAGCUGGGAAUGCUGAUCCAAUGGGAGCUCUUUGUGGACGCAGAGCUGCAGGUUCGGCCCAAUAUAAGUGCUGGAGGGCUCAGGUCAGUGCUCACCUCUCCUCGCUCUCUGCAGCUCUCUCUCCCAGAGGUCACGCUGCCAUCAGACAAGGCAGAACAGAGAUGCUUU